rfam:Triticum aestivum genome assembly, contig: Triticum_aestivum_CS42_TGACv1_scaffold_592189_7BS
AUUCUACUCCCUCCGUCCGAAAAUACUUGUCAUCGAAAUGGAUAAAAGGAGAUGUAUACAGAACUAAAAUACGUCUAGAUGCAUCCCUUUUUAUCCAUUUUGAUGACAAGUAUUUCCGGACGGAGGGAGUACCAA